rnacentral:rRNA from 1 species
GGACGGGUGAGUAACACGUGGGUAACCUGCCCAUAAGACUGGGAUAACUCCGGGAAACCGGGGCUAAUACCGGAUAACAUUUUGAACCGCAGGGAUCGAAAUUGAAAGGCGGCUUCGGCUGUCACUUAUGGAUGGACCCGCGUCGCAUUAGCUAGUUGGUGAGGUAACGGCUCACCAAGGCAACGAUGCGUAGCCGACCUGAGAGGGUGAUCGGCCACACUGGGACUGAGACACGGCCCAGACUCCUACGGGAGGCAGCAGUAGGGAAUCUUCCGCAAUGGACGAAAGUCUGACGGAGCAACGCCGCGUGAGUGAUGAAGGCUUUCGGGUCGUAAAACUCUGUUGUUAGGGAAGAACAAGUGCUAGUUGAAUAAGCUGGCACCUUGACGGUACCUAACCAGAAAGCCACGGCUAACUACGUGCCAGCAGCCGCGGUAAUACGUAGGUGGCAAGCGUUAUCCGGAAUUAUUGGGCGUAAAGCGCGCGCAGGUGGUUUCUUAACUCUGAUGUGAAAGCCCACGGCUCUACCGUGGAGGGUCAUUGGAAACUGGGAGACUUGAGUGCAGAAGAGGAAAGUGGAAUCCCAUGUGUAGCGGUGAAAUGCGUAGAGAUUGGAGGAGAGCAUCGCGGUGGGACUUU